UACCUAUAUGGGAUUAAAGA
rnacentral:snRNA from 1 species